rnacentral:snoRNA from 1 species
UGCUCUCUUAGGCGUUACCCGGUGUGCUGUCGUGGUGUGCACCGGGUGUCAGAGGGAGCGCACAGCGAACCAGCCAGAAUUAAAACCAGCUCGCGCCUUCUCCUCUCCGUAGGUACCGUGCUGACCUGUCUCCUGGCAUACUU